UACAUGUGGGGCAAGCGUUGUUCGGAAUUACUGGGCGUAAAGGGCGCGUAGGUGGCGCAGGAAGUCAACGGUGAAAGUUCGGGGCUCAACCCUGAAUCGGCCGUCGAUACUCCUGGGCUCGAGCACUGUAGAGGCAGAUGGAAUUCCGGGUGUAGCGGUGGAAUGCGUAGAGAUCCGGAAGAACACCGGUGGCGAAGGCGGUCUGCUGGGCA
rnacentral:rRNA from 1 species